AUACGAAGGGCCCAAGCGUUAAUCGGAAUUACUGGGCUUAAAGGGUGCGUAGGCGGGCCCGCAAGUGUCUUGUGAAAUCCCACGGCUCAACCGUGGAACUGCUUGGCAUACUGCGGGCCUUGAGGUCGACAAAGGUCGUCGGAACUCUAGGUGUAGCGGUGAAAUGCGUAGAUAUCUAGAGGAACGCCAAAGGCGAAGGCAGACGGCUGGGUCGAUCCUGACGCUGAGGCACGAAAGCAUGGGUAGCGAACGGGAUUAGAUACCCCAGUAGUCC
rnacentral:rRNA from 1 species